rnacentral:hammerhead_ribozyme from 1 species
ACACUGCUGAUGAGUCCCAUAAAACAGGACGAAACAACUGUCCAGUGC